rnacentral:tRNA from 1 species
CGCGCGGUAGCGCAGCGGUCAGCUCGUCGGGCUCAUAUCCCGAAGGUUGAUGGUUCGAAUCCAUUCCUCGCAACCA